AAGCUUCUCUCCCAAAAAAUCUUCCCCUCUCCUCCCUCCCUUCCCCGGGUGGGCUAGAGUUGCCGCCGUCGCUGCCCCAUCGCCGCAUCCCAGCUCCUCCGCCGCCGGCCACCAGAGAAGGCGCCUCCUGAGAUCCGCUUCCCCCAAACCUUCUCGUCUUCGCGUUCCGCAAGACCUCCAGGAUGGUUGUAGAGGAGGAGGGGGGGUGAAGGGGAUGCCAUCGAGGUGCCGGCGGAGACCGACGGUGACGGCUACGACAAGGGGAGGAGAUGAAUCCGAAGCAGCUCGAGGGCCUCCUGGGGGCCUGACCAAGUUCUCCGCCGCCUCCCCCGCUUCAUCCUUCUCCUCUCUCAUUCUCUCCCCAUGCUCGUGGCGGCUGCGAGGAGGUAUACGAUGGGGUUCCGCGACCAGAUGAGGGCAAGGGCGUCGAUCUCCCUCCUCCUGCUCCCAAUCGCCGGCGCGGCCACCAUCUGCUAGAUCUUCACCGCCUUUGCGCCGUGGUCCAGCUGAUGGUGCUGCGGUUCUGCUCGGGCGCCAUCACCUGAAGGUCGCUGUUGCCGACGACGAGGACAGAUGGGAGGACGCCGCCGCAACGGAUCUGCUCCCCAUUUCCCUCCACCGUUGGUGGCCAUGUGCGGGUGUCUCCCAGGAUCCAGGUGUGGUCUCGCCGCCAUCGAUGCCAGAGGAGGAAGAGGUGCUCUUCCAUGUCGGCUAGAGGAGAAAGAGGAGGAGGAGGAGGCGCUUCUCCGACCAGACCCAGGGUCGGGGCCGGCACGCCACGGGCAUCUACGCCUGCGACCACGACCACACGCACGGGCUGACACCGCUGAUGAAGAUGCGUACCCUUAGCCACGAGUUUGUCCCUGAUCCCAUCCAUGCAGGUGGGCUUCGCUGCCAUUGAAUGACACCUCUGAUCUCCCAUGUAGAUGAGCUCGGGUUUAUGGAAGCCAUGUCCAUAAAGCAAACUGAGUGCUUCGAAGUUUUGUAGAAAAGGAAUUGGAAGCUCGGAGAGACCUCACGUGAAUCAACAGGUUUGACUCCUUUUAGUCUUUGGUUAUUUCCAUAGCGGAAACCCAUGAAAUGUCGGGAUCAAAAUCCCAGGUCAGAUGGAAGUGUGGGCAUUCAUGAUUACUGUACAAGUAACUGAUUUUGUGGAACAUGCUUCUUACUUUCUUGUCUGAAUGCUUAAUAGUAUAUUACCCUUGCAAUGUGAUGGAACCAGUAGACUUUAUACCCUUGACCCUUGCAAUGUCUGAAGCAAAACAAAAUUUGGAUCACAUUUUAGAUCUUUUGUUGAAAACAAAGUUUCUAUCAGGCUUUAGAUCUGUUAUUUCCUUGUUCUAAUCAGCAUAAACUGAAUUAUUUUAUCUGAUUGCAAAUUAUCAUCAAACUGUGGUGUUUCAUCGAGGACGAUCUUUAUCAACAAUGAGGAGGAUUUGCAGAAGAUGAGAUUUCAAAUGGCUUGAAUAAGAAGAGAUGCAGAUCAGUAUUCUGGACAGGUUCUUGAUCCUAACCAGUCCACGGUGCCGUAGCCGUCGUCCUGAUUCCUUGGACGCCGCCGACGCAAGCGACAAGAGAAGGUGAGAUCGAAUCCAUCUGUUCUUUCUUUUUCCCCGUCCGUCCCGUGGAUUUUUCCUGUAUUUUGGUGAGCUCCUGAACCACCUGAUUUCUUCUUUCAUGCAAGCACACCUCUAGCUCGGCUUGUGGCGGCGGCGGGUAUUGCUGGAGUGGAGGCGCCUUUCUUUUUUCGUCCUCUUGUUCGUGCGAAGGCGCAGAAGGUCGGAUGAGGAAGUAUGAGAACAGCAAAAGAGGAGAUGGGAAAGGGUGUCGUGUUGUGGGACAACCCAGCGCUGGUGGACGCCUUAGACCACCCCGUCACCACCUACAAGCUAUGCGCCCUGGUCCCCUUUUGAUCCUCUUGCCCUUUCCUCCUUGCUGGUGGCGUGUCAGGUCCUACGCGAUUUACAACUGUGGAUCUCGCGAAUUGUAAGAGGAAAUCAUGGCAAUUGCUGGAUCUGGAGUAUAUGAUCUGUAGGAGGAGCAGUGUUCGUAUAUAGGUUCAUGCCAUUAGGCUAGAAUGGGGAAUUCUCAAUGGUCAAUUACAACCACAACCCGGCUUAGUUAUAGGUGUACUUUUACCCACGAGCUCAACAACAACUAAACAUUAAACAGGACAGGUAACAGUAAAUCGGACGGUCCAUCGACGAAGUAAAACGAGGAGCUCAUCGUAGCCGUCAGAUGUUGAUGAAUCUGUAUGUCCCGGAAGAGCUACACCUAACUGAAGAUAGGUGCAGCCUGACAUGGCGUUCUGGUACUGCUCACUGAGAUCCCUCAAGCUACAUCAUUGGAUAAUUGAACAUGUAUGUUAAUUAGAUAAUUCAGUUAACCAGUGUGCAUCUACGUAAUUCAGUUAUACUAUGUACUAAUUCAUGCAAAGUAGGGACUAAUUGUUGGCGAACAUGCCUGCCACGCAUAUAUCAUGUUAUAUGUUGGAAACUAAUUUUGUUUUGUGCAUUCUUUAUGCAUGGCAUGCAUAUAUCAUGUGAAUGAUUGAACAAGUUUAGUUAAUAAGAUCUCAUCUGUUGGCGACUUGGAGUCAACUGCACCAGAUUUACAGUAACAAGCGCUAGCUUCUACUAAAAGAUGAGGUGUUCAUAGUCACAUAAUGUUUCAUAGAUUCACUACAAAACUGUUAGUUAUGAACUUAUGCUCGCUCAUAUAAAUCUGCUCAUGCACGAAUGUCUGCUGAAUUAAUUAGUAUAAGCUAGCAGCUGACACGCGUGUACAUGCAUGUUGUUAGCAGCAAUUCAGCAUCGACCUGUCUGAAUAACGAGCUUGAAUAUAAUCUCGUAAUAAGAACAAAGUGAGUUUACUAAAUGCAUGUUUUGUUUUGCCGACAGAUUAGCACAUAGUUAACUUGAUCCACAACAAAAAAUGUGAUGACAUGCAUGUUCGACAAGAAGACGAUCAACACCACUCUCCCUAAACAGAUCGUAAGAUCACACUAAGAGGUAGAAGACCCCAUGCUAGAAAAAAUACAGAUUCAGUUUCUCCAAAGUACUCAAAAGAAAGAAGUUGUAAUUUGAUGGAAUAAUUAACUAUGUUCUCUUUUAUUUCUCGAAUCAUGUCUGUUCGCACAAGUACUAUAUAUGUACACAGCAACAUAUGGUCUAUACUGCUACAAAUUGUGGUUAGCUUUCAAUCUGUUAUUCAAGUUACUGUAUGUACCCUGACCGAGGAAACAAUUUUUUCAGGCAAGAAGGAUGGUAUGGAAUCGACAGGUGAUCCGGUUAUGUUUAGUUACGUUACAUGUGGUGAAUGAGUAUGAAUCUAUCGUUCAGCUUAUGUAUCCCUGGACACUAUUCUCUUAUAUAAUGCUUCUUUGUUGAUCAUCCACUAUUAGUCAUCCAUUCACAUUGUCAGGACUCAUGAUCCAGUUAGUUGCGGCUAGAAAUGGCGACUACUGCUUUCUUUUUUAAUGAAAUUAGUAACAAUUAAUAAAAAUCUAAAACUGGAGCUAUUUCUUUUUCCAAACAAAUGAUAAUGAUGUAAUUUUGUGCUAUAAACUAAAUUUGUUGUCCAGAUGAUAACCCACUUUCCUUUUCACUUUUUGAGGUGAGAUAGAUGGACCGUAAUAGGACUUGUGUUUACUCAUUUUUGUUGUUUUCUUUUCCGUAUGAGUCUUUCUUUUCCAUGUUGAGUCAAAUGCCCCUGAUAUUUUUUCUUUUACUUUUCAGGUUUCCUGGAACUAAUAGAUGGAGGGGGUGCUAGGGUUGGGAUUGGGGUCGGAUGAAUUGCUCUGUCGAAUUUGUUCGCUGCUGUGUAGUAGUAUGUACAAGAUAACUGUAAUGGUCCCUUUUUGUUUCAUGAAUAGAUGUAGUUUUCCGUGCAUUUCUCUCUGGUUGAAUAGAUCGAUUGAAUUUGCUCCUUUAUUUUUUAUGUGAAAGAACUCAGGGGUUCUCCCACAUUUAUGCAUAUAUUACUGCUUGUUUGCAUUGGGCUAAUUGAUUUUGACGGCUUGUAGGCAAUGCAUGGUAAGAACAACCAAGCUGCUCCAUCUGAGAAACAAGAGUCAGAAGAUGUAGCUACCGUUGCGGAAGAACCUGUUUGUACUGAAGUAGCAGAUGAGUAAGUAGGCUGUACACCUCCUGAUAGGGUGUACUGAUGCUUCAAUUAAUAGUUUGUCCUGUUUUACUGGUAUGACAGUGAUUAUUCUGUGCAAAGAUGGCAAUUUUUUUUUUGUUAAAACUAGAGUGUGUAGAAACUAGAAAGGACGGUGCUAUGUUCCUGUCUGUCUUUUUCUCUGUAUUUUGUUUAGAACUUGUUCCUAGCAGAUUUGAAAAUUCUGGAGAGGAGAUAAAUUGCAGCAGUACAGCCUAUCACAUGAUGGAGAAAAGGAGUGUAGAGAAGAACAUUUGGCUUGAGCUGGAACAUGAGGUAUAUGCUUUUUCAGUUCACGCACAUUUUUUUUCCUGUUUUCAGCUAAUGGUAGUUCAGUUCACGCACAUUCUUCUACUGAAUGGACUUGACCAACAAGGACAUAGAAGCACUCUUGGGUGGACAUACUCCGGAGAAAAGCUCCUCCUGAUAGCUCGGGAUUCGACUACAGCUGGACAAAAGAUCCUCUGAAGUUUGAUAACUCCUACUUCAUGUAAGCUUAAUUGCCGCGGUUGUAGAUUGCAACACAUCGGCUAAAGAUUAUAUGUAGCUGUAAUGUCAUCAGUGCAACAUUAUGAAGUUGUACAUCACUGGACUUCAUCUUUUGUAUAUGCUGCAAUGAGCUUCUGAAAGGGGACUCCAACGGACUCACGAAGCUGCUUAUAGACAAGGACGCGUUCUUCAGGGACUACGCGAAGUCGCACAAGCAGCUUUCCAAGCUCUACUUUACUGGCGUGGACAUGCACAGACAAAGCCUAGAGGGCUGUCAUAAGAACUAUCAUUGUCUUCCCAGUUGCGGUUGCCGUCAUCGCCUGCGCUUACAUCUUUGAAUCAAAGAGAAGGCUUGGUGGUUAGACUGCAAGUCUCCAUGUUUAGAUGAUUGCGAUUCAGUUAUGGGUUUUGAAGAACAAAGUUAAUCAUCCAUUGAGAUGUUGUGCACUUGUAUUUGUAAUUAAUCUGUUGAUACAGUGACGAGGAUGCAGAUAUAUGCUACCAUCCAUGUAAUAUUAUUAAUGGAAUAAGGAAACUGUUGAUUAUGCAAGUACA